AACCCAUUGUUACAUUAUUAGACGGAAAGACCCCAAGAGCUUUUUUUGUGUUAGAUUUGUUUGGGGUAAAUGUAGAUUAUUCAUUUAUUUUCAGAUCCUUCGUAGAUAAAGGAUAAAGUUACCUUGGGGAUAACUGAGUAAAGGGCAGGGAGAGGUCCUAUUGAUCUGUUUAUUACUACCUCGAUGUUGGCUUGUUGAACCUUUUCGGUGUAGAGGCUGGAAAAGGAAGUCUGUUCGACUUUUAAAUCUUCAUGAGUUGAGUUAAGACCGGUGUAAGCCAGGUUGGUUCUUAUCUAUAAUUGGUUCUAAUUAGUACGAAAGGAUUAUUAGGAUACAGUGUUUCUGUACAUAUAGGAAUAGGAGGUAUACA
rnacentral:rRNA from 1 species